UUCCUGUCACAACGUUUUAUAUAAAUGGGA
rnacentral:piRNA from 1 species